AACGAACGCUGGCGGCAGGCUUAACACAUGCAAGUCGAGCGCCCCGCAAGGGGAGCGGCAGACGGGUGAGUAACGCGUGGGAAUCUACCCAUCUCUACGGAAUAACGCAUGGAAACGUGUGCUAAUACCGUAUACGUCCUUCGGGAGAAAGAUUUAUCGGAGAUGGAUGAGCCCGCGUUGGAUUAGCUAGUUGGUGGGGUAAAGGCCUACCAAGGCGACGAUCCAUAGCUGGUCUGAGAUGGUGAUCCGCCACACUGGGACUGAGACACGGCCCAGACUCCGGCGGGAGGCAAGAGUGGGGAGUAUUGGACGAUGAGCGAAAGCCUGGUCCCGCCAUGCCGCGUGGGUGAUGAAGGCCCUAGGGUUGUAAAGCUCUUUCACCGGUGAAGAUAAUGACGGUAACCGGAGAAGAAGCCCCGGCUAACUUCGUGCCAGCCGCCGCGGUAACAC
rnacentral:rRNA from 1 species